rnacentral:rRNA from 1 species
CUCUUGUGUCACUCUGAACACACCAGAUCUUGUCUGAUUCUGGAAGCUAAGCAGGGUCAGGGUGGGCGACUACUUCAAUGGUAGACUACCAUGAAAUAUAAGGGA